rnacentral:lncRNA from 1 species
GUCCUGAGGCUUGUUCCUCUACCAGAAAGUGAAAACGCGGAUUAUCCUGAUAAUGAGAAUAGUUUAUUUUUAUGAAAACUUAUACAAACUAUUUACUAUAUAUCAUAAUACACAUCAUCAUUUUUAUAACCAUUUACCAUAACUUUUCAACAUUAAUUAUAGAAUAACUAAUCGAAGAAUUCAAAUAGAGAAAAAUAUUCAACGAGUGACCGAACAACACAUUAAUUCACGAAUGCGCAUAGCGCAUGAGUUAAUUAUCAGUGUUGUUCGGUCACGAGUUGAAUAUUUUUCGAUAUUUGAAUUCUUUGAUUAGUUAUUCUUUUUAUUACAUUGGCAAAUGGCUCUUUUUUUUUGAAAUUAAUGUAGAAAAUGUAAGGAACUAUAUGUUUUUCCUACGCAUGUUUUGAUCCGAUGUUAUUGACGUCUUGACAACACCUAUUGUUGUAUGACGUCAGAGAGUGAAAUAACCACGUUUAUUUCACAUGUGAAAUUAUCGGUUUUUAUUUGACUGGGAAAUCAAUGUAAUUCAUUGCAACCAAUGUAAUAAUAUAUCUUAAAACAGAUAAACAAAGAUUCAAAAUCCUGAUUGGUAAUGUAUAC